AGGACGAACGCUGGCGGCGUGCCUAACACAUGCAAGUCGAACGGGAUCCAUCCAGUGGCAACACUGGUGAAGAUCUAGUGGCGAACGGGUGAGUAACACAUGAGGAACCCACCCCGAUCUCAGGAAUAACAGUGGGAAACCACUGCUAAUACCGGAUGUCUUCCCUGGGUCGCAUGGCUCGGCGAAGAAAGGUUUACCGGAUCGGGAAGGCCUCGUGGCCUAUCAGCUAGUUGGCGGGGUAACGGCCCACCAAGGCGUCGACGGGUAGCUGGUCUGAGAGGAUGAUCAGCCACACUGGGACUGAGACACGGCCCAGACUCCUACGGGAGGCAGCAGUGGGGAAUCUUGCGCAAUGGGCGAAAGCCUGACGCAGCAACGCCGCGUGGGGAUGACGGCCCUCGGGUUGUAACCCCUUUCAGCAGGAACGAAUUGACGGUACCUGCAGAAGAAGGCCGGCCAACUACGUGCCAGCAGCCGC
rnacentral:rRNA from 1 species